rnacentral:lncRNA from 10 species
CGCGGUGGCUCACGUCUGUAAUCCCAGCCCUUUGGGAGGCCGAGGCGGGCGGAUCACCUGAGGUCAGGAGUUCGAGACCAGCCUGACCAAUAUGAUGAAACCCCGUCUCUACUAAAAAUGCAAAAAUUAGCCGGGCGUUGGUGGCAUGCGACUGUAAUCCCAGCUACUUGGGAGGCUGAGACAGGAGAAUCGCUUGAACCUGGAAGAUGGAGGUUGCAGUGAGCCGAGAUCGCGCCAUUGCACUCCAGCCUGGGCAACAGGAGCGAAACUCAGUCUCAGGAAAAAAAAAAAAAAAAAAAUUGAAGCGAAUAUGCAAAAUGUUAGUAAUAAUUCG